rnacentral:rRNA from 1 species
GAUGAACGCUGGCGGCGUGCCUAAUACAUGCAAGUCGAGCGAACGGACGAGAAGCUUGCUUCUCUGAUGUUAGCGGCGGACGGGUGAGUAACACGUGGAUAACCUACCUAUAAGACUGGGAUAACUUCGGGAAACCGUAGCUAAUACCGGAUAAUAUUUUGAACCGCAUGGUUCAAAAGUGAAAGACGGUCUUGCUGUCACUUAUAGAUGGAUCCGCGCUGCAUUAGCUAGUUGGUAAGGUAACGGCUUACCAAGGCAACGAUGCAUAGCCGACCUGAGAGGGUGAUCGGCCACACUGGAACUGAGACACGGUCCAGACUCCUACGGGAGGCAGCAGUAGGGAAUCUUCCGCAAUGGGCGAAAGCCUGACGGAGCAACGCCGCGUGAGUGAUGAAGGUCUUCGGAUCGUAAAACUCUGUUAUUAGGGAAGAACAUAUGUGUAAGUAACUGUGCACAUCUUGACGGUACCUAAUCAGAAAGCCACGGCUAACUACGUGCCAGCAGCCGCGGGUAUACGUAGGUGGCAAGCGUUAUCCGGGAAUAUUGGGCGUAAAGCGCGCGUAGGCGGUUUUUUAGUCUGAUGUGAAAGCCCACGGCUCAACCGUGGAGGGUCAUUGGAAACUGGAAAACUUGAGUGCAGAAGAGGAAAGUGGAAUUCCAUGUGUAGCGGUGAAAUGCGCAGAGAUAUGGAGGAACACCAGUGGCGAAGGCGACUUUCUGGUCUGUAACUGACGCUGAUGUGCGAAAGCGUGGGGAUCAAACAGGAUUAGAUACCCUGGUAGUCCACGCCGUAAACGAUGAGUGCUAAGUGUUAGGGGGUUUCCGCCCCUUAGUGCUGCAGCUAACGCAUUAAGCACUCCGCCUGGGGAGUACGACCGCAAGGUUGAAACUCAAAGGAAUUGACGGGGACCCGCACAAGCGGUGGAGCAUGUGGUUUAAUUCGAUGCAACGCGAAGAACCUUACCAAAUCUUGACAUCCUUUGACAACUCUAGAGAUAGAGCCUUCCCCUUCGGGGGACAAAGUGACAGGUGGUGCAUGGUUGUCGUCAGCUCGUGUCGUGAGAUGUUGGGUUAAGUCCCGCAACGAGCGCAACCCUUAAGCUUAGUUGCCAUCAUUAAGUUGGGCACUCUAAGUUGACUGCCGGUGACAAACCGGAGGAAGGUGGGGAUGACGUCAAAUCAUCAUGCCCCUUAUGAUUUGGGCUACACACGUGCUACAAUGGACAAUACAAAGGGCAGCGAAACCGCGAGGUCAAGCAAAUCCCAUAAAGUUGUUCUCAGUUCGGAUUGUAGUCUGCAACUCGACUACAUGAAGCUGGAAUCGCUAGUAAUCGUAGAUCAGCAUGCUACGGUGAAUACGUUCCCGGGUCU